rnacentral:misc_RNA from 1 species
UCCGAGUUGACCCCGGCAGUCUCCUAUGAGUCCCCGACAUUACUCGCUGGCAACAUAGGACGAGGGUUGCGCUCGUUGCGGGACUUAACCCAACAUCUCACGACACGAGCUGACGACAACCAUGCACCACCUGUACAGGACCCUUGCGGACCCGACAUCUCUGCCGGAUUUCCCUGUAUGUCAAGCCUUGGUAAGGUGGGGAUGACGUAGACCUUGGACC